rnacentral:rRNA from 1 species
UACGUAGGGUGCAAGCGUUGUCCGGAAUUAUUGGGCGUAAAGAGCUCGUAGGCGGUCUGUCGCGUCGGCUGUGAAAACCCGAGGCUCAACCUCGGGCCUGCAGUCGAUACGGGCAAACUAGAGUACUGCAGGGGAGACUGGAAUUCCUGGUGUAGCGGUGAAAUGCGCAGAUAUCAGGAGGAACACCGGUGGCGAAGGCGGGUCUCUGGGCCGAGUACUGACGGUGGAGGAGCGAAAGUGUGGGGAGCGAACAGG